rnacentral:rRNA from 1 species
AUUGAACGCUGGCGGAAUGCUUUACACAUGCAAGUCGAACGGCAGCACGGAGAGCUUGCUCUCUGGUGGCGAGUGGCGAACGGGUGAGUAAUAUAUCGGAACGUGUCCAAUAAUGGGGGAUAACGAGUCGAAAGAUUCGCUAAUACCGCAUACGCCCUACGGGGGAAAGCAGGGGAUCGUAAGACCUUGCGUUAAUGGAGCGGCCGAUAUCUGAUUAGCUUGUUGGUGAGGUAAAGGCUCACCAAGGCGACGAUCAGUAGCUGGUUUGAGAGAACGACCAGCCACACUGGAACUGAGACACGGUCCAGACUCCUACGGGAGGCAGCAGUGGGGAAUUUUGGACAAUGGGGGCAACCCUGAUCCAGCCAUUCCGCGUGAGUGAAGAAGGCCUUCGGGUUGUAAAGCUCUUUCGCAAGGGAAGAAAACUUAUGAUCGAAUAAAUCAUGAGGUUGACGGUACCUUGAUAAGAAGCACCGGCUAACUACGUGCCAGCAGCCGCGGUAAUACGUAGGGUGCGAGCGUUAAUCGGAAUUACUGGGCGUAAAGCGUGCGCAGGCGGUUUUGUAAGUCGGAUGUGAAAUCCCCGGGCUCAACCUGGGAACUGCGUUCGAAACUGCAAGGCUAGAGUGUGUCAGA